AGCCGCCCGGUUACCGGUAGCCAGCGCAGACCCUUCCUGAUGCGGCAACCCGCCAGCCCAGCGCGCCCAGGUCACGCCGCCGGAAGCCGCCUGGACUACCCCGGAAACGGAAGUCAGGGGGCGCCGUCCCAGAAGCUCUGAGCUAGGGACGGGCCCUGGCGACAGUCGUGGAGAGAGCAACACGCGCCUGGAGGUCUGUGCGCGCUGACGCCGGGCAGGGGAAUGGAAAUGAACCAGCACAUAGUGUAUCGAUUCUUUCUCAGGCUCGUAACAUUACGGAAUCCCUGUUGAAGUGCAAGCUGGACUGGCGGAAAUCAGAUUUCCCAUAUCUUCUCAAAGGCUGUUUGUCAAGAUUAGAUGCCUGGAGAGAGAGACUGAGACAGACAGAAGACAUACACAGAGAGAGAGACUGACUGACUUGUAUCUUUGAGAAAAGAAGGACACAGAAAAUUGCAGGGUAACCAGACCCUGUCUGAGAGAGAAUUCUUUCUUUGUGCUAACAGUGGAGAAAUGCGGGGCUGUCAUAUGAGGAGCAGUCUUACUCUUUGUGUAUCAGGUAAGGCAGAAAAGAGAAGACUAAGGUUCAAGGAAAGGGAGAAUUAGAAGCGGCCAAAUGAUUGAAAUCAACAAAAGGACGGCCAAGAAAUAUGAGAAACGAAGAGGAAGGAAAGACUGAGAGGGCGUUCUGUCAAUAGCAUUUAAAAGAGAGUAAGGAAUGUAAAGUGACCCGCUGUGAGGGAGCUACAAGAUACCAUCUGUGUUCUUUUCCCUAUGAGACCCUCUCUUCUGAAAAGAAUUGUCAUCCUCAAGCCCCGAACAGCACUGCACUAUUUUGUUGGUGAUGUUGCUUUUAAAAUGUAGACUAUGAUGUUAUUUUAAGAUUUCAAUUAAUCUGCGACAACAUUCCAGUAUUUUGUAAAAUGAAAAUAUGCCGAGUCAUCCUGUCAAGAGAGAGGAUAACCUUCAAGAAGCUAGGGUAUUUUUUUCCCUAUCAUCAUGGUUGCCGAUUUUGACAGGGAGUUACCCAACGUGCAAGGAAUAUUCCUUGGUGUUAGCAGUGGGUUCCAUAUCAUGUUUUGAGCUAGUAUGGUCUUCUGGUCUAGAGCCAUUUGUGUCUGAAAAUGAUGGUUGUAGUAACAAUUUGUCAUAUUCUCUUUGUAGCAAGUUCCUUUUGCUCAUGAGCCUGUUUUUAUUGAAGAAGCAUUUAGUGUAGGUAAAUGACCCUUGC